UACGAAGGGAGCAAGCGUUGUCCGGAUUUAUUGGGCGUAAAGAGCGUGUAGGCGGCCAGACAGGUCCGUUGUGAAAACUGGAGGCUUAACCUCCAGACGUCGAUGGAAACCGUCUGGCUAGAGUCCGGAAGAGGAGAGUGGAAUUCCUGGUGUAGCGGUGAAAUGCGCAGAUAUCAGGAAGAACACCCGUGGCUAAGGCGGCUCUCCAGUACGGUACUGACGCUGAGACGCGAAAGCGUGGGGAGCGAACAGG
rnacentral:rRNA from 1 species